AGCCUCUGGGGCUGCAGAACUGAAGGGUGCUGGAGGCACAGGCAGCCAGACCACAGCCGGGGAUGGUGCAGUCCCCAUCUGGGGCAGCUCCCGCUUCAGGUAGAGGCAGAACCUGGCCCAGGGAGUGGGUCAAGUUGCCCACAAGGAACUCGAGCGUCUCUGAGGGCAGAGGGUUUGAAGAGGGAGGAGGGUACAAGGAACUGGAGGGCUGGUAGCAAAGAGGCAGAGGCACUUCUGGAGCAACUUCAAUGUCAUGCUGAAUUAGACCAUAAAAAGCUGAAGCAACCCAGCCCUGGAUCAAUCUCAGCCCCAGCGUCUUAGCUCCUAGGCUGUGUGUGCUUAGCUCUUGCAAAAGGCUGGAGCCCCACAGAGCCACCCACACACUGUGUGAUCUAAGAGGAGCCACUGGUCAUCUCUUAGUCAUUGACUGACAUGUCCAAGUACUACCAAGUUUCCCUUCCAUCUCCUGAAGGACCUCCACCAUGACAUCUGUGAGGAUAAAUAAAAUGCAGGUGAUGUCUCGCUCAUGUAACUGGGCAUGAGACAUCAUGUUGCUGUGUGGUUCAUGUCGGCCUUGAACUUAGUACGGAGCCCAGGCUGGCCUUGAAUAGCAAAAAUAGAUUGAAAAGACAUCCGAAUCAUGUGACUAUUGUGGAGAGCAAAUGGAAAUAAGGUGGAACCGGCACGAGUGAGCUGAGGCUGGACGAGGAGGACUGAAGUUAGGCAGCAAGAAAAACUCCCGGCACGAAUGGUGGAAAGCACCGGGCAGAUGACAGCGAAGCUGCUGCUUUUUGCCAUCUUAGCCAAAAGUCCGGCCAGUGUCGCAGGCCCUGAGCUCCUCAGCGGUCUUUUUAGCCCAAGGCUCGCUGCAUAAAAAUCUGGGCAUUUCCCUGCUGGUAGCUAGAACUCUGCCUUUUUCUUGCUUCUCCCUUUCAUUGUGUCCACCAUUCCAGUACGCUGAAUUCACUCACUCAUCAGUCAGCAUCCUUACAACUAUUUAAUGCUUGAUGCUGGUGGCAUUGGUACUCUUGGAUCUCUGUGAUGACAUCUAUAAAUGCUAAACAUAUUCACAAAUGUAUGUCAUUUGGGGCUCACUUUCUCCUUUUUAGCCAAGGAGUAGCCUAAGUUCGAUCUGGCAAGCUUUCAGAGAACAGAGGCAGAGCUGCAGCCCCCAAAUUCUGCACCGCUCCUGGCCCACAGAGGGAAAGGGAGACAGACAGCUGCAAGGAAAGGCAGGCGCCUGUCAUUUCAGCUCAUUUGCAUAUUUUAGACAGCCAGGAAGGGUGGGGUAGGGUUAAAAUUAGACCGUAUUAGAGGCAGUUGGAGAUGAGGAAAUGAGUCUAACGCUUCCUUGGUAAUUGUCACUAAGGUUGUGGAAGGUGUGCUGUCCCUGAACGCAAGCUGGUAAUAAACAACGCAGGAGUCGGAAAUGAACAACUGGCUCAGCACUUUCUGGCAUGUUUGGGAGGCUCUUUUGAGUGUCUGUGUCUGUCUUCCUCCUUCUUUUCAUUUUCUCCUGAGAGCAGAGACAAAGAUAAUCAUUGAUACCCUCUAACCAAUAACGACAGGGGAUCCCCAGCUGGAGUAAAUUCCACAAUUAGUGAUCAGAUGACCUCUUCAAGGCUCAGCUAAAGGUGUCCUUCCAGGUGUACAGUGGGAGUGGUCAGACCUACACAUAGUUAGUGAGAAGACAACCAGUGAUCCAAGCGGCUAAGGGAGUACAGAGAAGAAAGCUUUUGGAGGAGCUUCCUAUUGGGGUACCGUUUGAUCUUGGCCUGAAAGGGUGAGAACAGUUUGUGCACUAGAGACACAAACGGAGAGAGAAAGGGAUGAACUCCCCAAUAAUGGCAUUCAUAGCAGGAGAUCCCUACUACCUCUGUGGUUGAACACAACACAGCAUGACCUAAUCUGUGGCUCACUUUGAUUGGAUCCUAGGUUGCACAAAAUGGAAAUAAAGCAAGAACAAAAGAGGACAUUAAAGCAUGGAGGCCCAAACAGGAAUUUGCUGAUAGGCAAUAGGGAGCUUGGAAGGAUUCUGAGUGCAUGUGACUAAGUUAGGACUGGGCUUUGGGUAGGGUUAUGCGGUACAGGGUCUGGGAUGGCUUGGAGCAGAAAAGAUCAAGUAGGGAAAAUCACAGAAGUGAUGACAUCCCUUGAGGCAGUGGAGCAUCCUACCCAAGGACUAAAGAGGAAGUCUCGGUGACUGUGGUUUGAAUUUAUCCCCCGUAAGUCACCUGUCAGGAACCUAAUCCCCAACAUGACAGCACAGAGAGACAGGAACUUUGAGGGGUGACUAAGUCAUAAGGAUUCUGAGCUCAUGAAUGAAUCAAUGCAAUAACAGAAGGAGACGUUUCUCGGUAAGACGAGUUAAUAGUCCUCCAUAUUUCAUGCUUUACCCUGGAAUCACAAGACAAGAAAGCCCUCAUGGGACGCUGUCUUUUGAUGUUGUACUUCAGAGCCUCCAGAAUCCCAGCCACAUAAACUCCUCCGUGAGGUCUCAGGUAUCCUAUUAUGUUGGGAGCCUGCCGUAUUACCCAUGAGAAUAUAGCCACAAGAUGGCGUCCGCCUACCGCCUCGCUGCUCCCCCGCCCAUCGUGUGCCCAAGAUGGCACACACAUCCUGCUUCCUGGUUCUUGCUCGGCUUACUGUCCCCGCCAUAUAUGGUAAUGAUUGAUUGCUUCCUUGUUGCCGCCCAAUCGCCUGUCCCCACGUGUAAUCCCAUGAUUGGAUAACAUUAGCUAUAUAAGCCCAAGUGUAGGAAGUGCCUGACGCACAACACGGAAGAAGCCGUCGAGGACGGACAUGUAUUGAGGUUGCUGCCCAGUCAAUAAAGGUGCUUGC